GGCCCUGGCAUAUUUUGAGCAGUUAAAGAUUUCCCCAGAUGCCUGGCAAGUGUGUGCAGAAGCUCUAGCCCAGAGGACGUACAGUGAUGAUCACAUAAAGUUUUUCUGCUUUCAAGUACUAGAACAUCAAGUUAAAUACAAAUACUCAGAACUAACUACUGUUCAACAACAACUAAUUAGGGAGACGCUCAUAUCUUGGCUUCAAGCUCAG